UACGUAGGGGGCAAACGUUGUCCGGAUUUAUUGGGCGUAAAGAGCGUGUAGGCGGCCUGGUAGGUCAGCUGUGAAAACUCGAGGCUCAACCUCGAGACGCCGGUUGAAACCAUCAGGCUAGAGUCCGGAAGAGGAGAGUGGAAUUCCCGGUGUAGCGGUGAAAUGCGCAGAUAUCGGGAAGAACACCCGUGGCUAAGGCGGCUCGCUGGGCCAUUCCUGACGCUGAGACGCGAAAGCUAGGGGAGCGAACAGG
rnacentral:rRNA from 1 species